CUUUUUUAUAGUAUUUUUCUCUAGGAUAGUAAUGAGUUUCUAUUGUGUCUCGCCAUUAUAAGUAGUUAGGUCUAUUAGUUUGAUCAUUAUCUCAAAUUGGAACAGUCUAGGACGAUCAUAUGGAUAAAAAAACUUUUUUUUAAUGUUUUAUAUGCUCAAAUUUAAAUGUAGUUUUGGUUUUUUUCUUAUAUUUAUUCAUUUAUAAUUUCAGUCUAUACUUCUACUAGGAACUUGACAACAUAUAUUUUUUAAAAUUUUGAUUUUCU
rnacentral:lncRNA from 1 species